rnacentral:rRNA from 1 species
AUUGAACGCUGGCGGAAUGCUUUACACAUGCAAGUCGAACGGUAGAGGGGGCAACCCCUCGAGAGUGGCGAACGGGUGAGUAAUAUAUCGGAACGUGCCCAGUCGUGGGGGAUAACGUAGCGAAAGUUACGCUAAUACCGCAUACGAUCUACGGAUGAAAGCGGGGGAUCGCAAGACCUCGCGCGAUUGGAGCGGCCGAUAUCAGCUUAGGUAGUUGGUGGGGUAAAGGCUCACCAAGCCAACGAUCUGUAGCUGGUCUGAGCGGACGACCAGCCAGAAUGGAACUGAGACACGGGCCAGACUCGGACGGGAGGCAGGAGUGGGGAAUUUUGGACAAGGGAGGCAAGUGUGAUCCAGCCAUGCGGCGUGCAGGAUGAAGGCGCUCGGGUUGUAAGCUGCUUUUGUACGGAACGAAAAGGUUUCCAUUAAUACUGGGAGCUCAUGACGGUACCGUAAGAAUAAGCACCGGCUAACUACGUGCCAGCAGCCGCCGUAA